rnacentral:rRNA from 1 species
CACCGCGGUUAUACGAGAGGCCCAAGUUGAUAGGAAGCGGCGUAAAGAGUGGUUAGGGAGGUACUUAAACUAAAGCCGAAAAUCUUCAAGGCCGUUAUACGCCUUCUCGAAGGUAGGAAGACCAACUACGAAAGUGGCUCUAACACACCUGACCCCACGAAAGCUAAGAAA